GACGAACCGUGCGAACGUUGUUCGGAUUCACUGGGCUUAAAGGGCGCGUAGGCGGAUUACCAAGUCGGGGGUGAAAUCUUUCGGCUCAACCGGAAAGUAGCCUUCGAUACUGGUAGUCUUGAGGGAGGUAGGGGCAGGUGGAACUUCUGGUGGAGCGGUGAAAUGCGUAGAUAUCAGAAGGAACGCCGGUGGCGAAAGCGACCUGCUGGAUCUACCUCUGACGCUGAGGCGCGAAAGCUAGGGGAGCAAACGGG
rnacentral:rRNA from 1 species